CAGCCGCCGCGGUAAUACGAAGGGCGCAAGCGUUACUCGGAAUUACUGGGCGUAAAGCGUGCGUAGGUGGUGGUUUAAGUCCGUUGUGAAAGCCCUGGGCUCAACCUGGGAAUUGCAGUGGAUACUGGGUCACUAGAGUGUGGUAGAGGAUAGUGGAAUUUCCGGUGUAGCAGUGAAAUGCGUAGAGAUCGGAAGGAACAUCUGUGGCGAAGGCGACUAUCUGGGCCAACACUGACACUGAGGCACGAAAGCGUGGGGAGCAAACAGGAUUAGAUACCCCCGUAGUCCCUGUCUCUUAUAC
rnacentral:rRNA from 1 species